AACGAACGCUGGCGGCAUGCCUAACACAUGCAAGUCGAACGAAGUGGCGCACGGGUGCGUAACGCGUGGGAAUCUGCCCUUGGUUCGGACUAACAGCUGGAACCGGCUGCUAAUACCGGAUGCCUGAGGUUGUGCCCGCGUUGGAUUAGGUAGUUGGUGGGGUAAAGGCCUACCAAGCCGACGAUCCAUAGCUGGUCUGAGAGGAUGAUCAGCCACACUGGGACUGAGACACGGUCCAGACUCCUACGGGAGGCAGCAGUGGGGAAUAUUGGACAAUGGGCGAAAGCUUGAGCCAGCAAUGCCGCUUGAGUGAUGAAGGCCCUAGGGUUGUAAAGCGCUUGUACCCGAGAAGCUGUACCGGGCGAAUAAGCCCCGGCUAACUACGUGCCAGCAGCCGCGGUAAUUC
rnacentral:rRNA from 1 species